ACAAUGUUCUGCAACCUCCACAUAUAAGCUGAGCCAUCUCCAUUCCUGCUGGAGGCACUGAGGUAAUUGUGCUACAUAUUGCACAGCACACAUUAGUGGCUCCCCUGGGAAAAAGAAGAAUGCUUCUACAUCCAUUGCACACAAGCUGGCUCUGCAUCCUCGAAAAGAUCAAGAAUCCGAUGAAAUCGAUGAAGAGAGGAGGAAAUCCACCGAAUUUUAUCCCGAUUACCGAGAUCCGGCGAUGAAUUGACGAGGACUAAGGGAGGAAGCUUUUGGAGAGACGCGGUUGAAG
rnacentral:misc_RNA from 1 species